UGCCAGACUCCUACGGGAGGCAGCAGUGGGGAAUAUUGCACAAUGGGGGAAACCCUGAUGCAGCGACGCCGCGUGAGUGAAGAAGUAUUUCGGUAUGUAAAGCUCUAUCAGCAGGGAAGAAAAUGACGGUACCUGAUUAAGAAGCCCCGGCUAACUACGUGCCAGCAGCCGCGGUAAUACGUAGGGAGCGAGCGUUGUCCGGAAUUACUGGGUGUAAAGGGAGCGUAGACGGUGAUGCAAGUCUGGAGUGAAAGGCGGGGGCCCAACCCCCGGACUGCUCUGGAAACUGUGUAACUUGAGUGCAGGAGAGGUAAGCGGAAUUCCUAGUGUAGCGGUGAAAUGCGUAGAUAUUAGGAGGAACACCAGUGGCGAAGGCGGCUUACUGGACUGUAACUGACGUUGAGGCUCGAAAGCGUGGGGAGCAAACAGGAUUAGAUACCCUUGUACG
rnacentral:rRNA from 1 species